GGAGGAAAGCAGGGGAUCGCAAGACCUUGCGCUUUUGGAGUGGCCGAUGCCUGAUUAGCUAGUUGGUGGGGUAAUGGCCUACCAAGGCGACGAUCAGUAGUUGGUCUGAGAGGACGACCAGCCACACUGGGACUGAGACACGGCCCAGACUCCUACGGGAGGCAGCAGUGGGGAAUUUUGGACAAUGGGCGAAAGCCUGAUCCAGCAAUGCCGCGUGAGUGAAGAAGGCCUUCGGGUUGUAAAGCUCUUUCAGUCGAGAAGAAAAGGUUGUGACUAAUAAUCACAACUCAUGACGGUAUCGACAGAAGAAGCACCGGCUAACUACGUGCCAGCAGCCGCGGUAAUACGUAGGGUGCGAGCGUUAAUCGGAAUUACUGGGCGUAAAGGGUGCGCAGGCGGCUUUGUAAGUCAGAUGUGAAAUCCCCGGGCUUAACCUGGGA
rnacentral:rRNA from 1 species